rnacentral:rRNA from 1 species
AACAAACGCUGGCGGCGUGCCUAAUACAUGCAAGUCGAACGGGGAAAGCUUUCGGGUGAGUACUAGUGGCGCACGGGUGAGGAACGCGUGGAUAAUCUGCCUUAGAGUGGGGGAUAACUAGUCGAAAGAUUAGCUAAUACCGCAUAAGACCACGAGAGCUGCGGCUUUUGAGGUCAAAGGUUUUUCGCUCUAAGAUGAGUCCGCGUAAGAUUAGCUAGUUGGUGAGGUAACGGCUCACCAAGGCGACGAUCUUUAACUGGUCUGAGAGGAUGAUCAGUCACACUGGAACUGAGACACGGUCCAGACUCCUACGGGAGGCAGCAGUAGGGAAUAUUGCACAUUGGAGGAAACUCUGAUGCAGCGACGCCGCGUGAGUGAUGAAGGCCUUCGGGUCGUAAAGCUCUGUCGCAGGGGAAUAACACAAUGAAGGUACCCUGUAAGAAAGAAUCGGCUAACUUCGUG